rnacentral:lncRNA from 1 species
UCAUCACUGACCACAAGCUACUACAACAAAAGAAAGGUAUGAGAAUGUCAUUUUUCUUAUUCAAGCUCAAACUAAUUAGUCUGAUUUUUUAGAUAUUCAUGCAAAUAUAUAACAUAAACUAACAAUGCCAAAUAAAAAAAUUCAACAUUACAGUAGUAAAAUAUGGAUGAAAUAGAUCCAAAAGUUACUCAUGAAAUCAGAAAAACCAUUUAGUCCAAUUCAAAAAAAGACAAACAGAUCCAAACCAUCUAUGAUUUUUUUUUCUUUUCAUAUCUUUGAUUUUUUUGUUGUUCUUACAUGUAAAAGAACAAAUAGUUCAGCCAUGAUUGUGCCUCAAAAUAAAAAAUAGUUUGAAUAAGUUGAGAAAAACAAUAUAGAUCCAAUACAAAUAGUUUGUUUAUUUCAAGUUCUCCAAAUCAAUCAGGUUUGAAUUUUUUUGGUUACUGUUGUUGAUAGAUAUGAAUAAAAAUAAUUAGAUUAUAGUUUUGUAUCAAAAUUUCUAGAUCUAGAAAAAACACAAAUCCAAAAAUAGAAUAAUUAUUAAUUUAAUAGAUAAAUAAAGAAAAUUUGAUUUGUAUUUAUGUAAUCAACUUAUUUUAAAAAUUUAGGAAUAAAAAAAACUUCUUUUAAAGGUAUAAAUUAAUCACUUAAAUUAUUUUGUAUUGUUUAUCAAUAAAAGAAAUGGAUCAAAAAAUGUAAAAAUAAUGAUGAAAGAUUUUGGAACAAGUGUAUUUUGUUUUGUGGAUGCGUGCAAAAAGAAAAAGAGAGAGGGUGUUGGAUAUGCACUUGAAUGAAUGAACAUUUUGGGCAGUGUGCAAUGUUGUUUUGUGGGUCUCAACGUAAAGAAAAACAGUAGUAAAGAGAAAGACCAAUAAAGGGAUUAAAAAAUGAUACUAUUAUUUGUUUAUAUCAAUUUAUUUAUAUCAAGCAAAAAAUAAAAUAAAAACAAAAUCAUACGGGAAAGAAAAAAAGAAACAUCCAAAAGUAUAUAAAUAAAAUGAGUUAUAUUUACAUGAUUUUUAAGGUUUUGGAUCUUAUGUUUUAGAAGAUCCAAAACAUAAGAUACAAAAUAAAACAUGAUUUUUGCCGUAAAUUACUCGAAUGGAACAUAUAAAUAUUAGGAAAAAAAAAAUUACAGUUGUAAAUAGUAAAAGAUGGGGGAAAUAGAUCCAACACAUAUUUUACAAACGAAGACAUAAAAACACUUUACUAAGAUUUAAAAAAAAAAAAUCAAACCAGAUAUAAUUAUUUUUCCUUCUGAUGAUGUGUUUGACUGUUGUUGUUCUUGCAUGUAAAAGAAAAUUGGAGAAGACGAAGUCCCAUGCUGUUUUCAUCAUGGUAACAAAAUUUCCGGAUCGGUAAUCUACUUGGUGGCUAAAAAAGAUGCUUGCAACACAUUUGUUUCUCUUCGGAAAGAUUAAAAACAAAACAAGAUAAAACUGUUUGCGGGAAACAAAAUUAGAUAAGAGAAAGUGCAGUGAAAAUUUAAACUUUUCUAUGAUUUUAAAAUAGAAAUUUCGGUUUUGUAUAGAGGGGAAUGAGUGAAAAAGAACCAUGGCUUUAUUUUAGGUGUGAUGGUAAGAAAUGGUUUAAAAUUUAG